rnacentral:lncRNA from 1 species
AUCUUGUGGUGCAUGGCGCGGCCGUCGGGGCGGCCCCGAUCGGGUGAGGGCCUGGCCCGGCCGCCAUCGUGGCUCAAUCCCUCUCCCGUCUCUGUGAGCUUUCUGCGGUGACUCCCCACAGUGGCUCUGUGCAGGAGAGAGUUCUCAUCCAGAAACAUCCUAGAGAGUGCCAGAAAGGGGGACAAAAAGAGAAGCUACCUGCCUCUGGAUACAGGAAGAAGGCAGAUAGUGAAACUCAGAGAAGAAUCCCAAGGCAUCCUUUGCAGUGUUUAUUGCUUGUGAGAGCAGGCUGAGAGUUAUUCCUUGCUGUGCUUCCAGAGCAGGAGCAUUUGGUGCUUUGAUGCUGGGACAGAAGAGGUGUGCAAGGAAACAGAGUCAGCAGCUGAAGUGCAUAGCCAGGAGUCAGUUCCCUGUACCUGGCCUCUAAACACUGGGAGGACGUGGCUACAGGAGUCAUGGAGUGAGAGAAUGGAGGAAUCUGGGCACAUCAGCUGUCUGGCCUGGAAGCAGCUGGCGGCUUUUCAAAUACACGGACGUCUUUCCAGUUUUCGAAGAAGCCGUGUGUGGGUUGGAAGGAGAGCAGACUGCCUCUGACUGAUAGAUGAGCUUCGGAAAUUCUGCCCUUGUUUUUAGAUAUUUUCAAAUAUUUGGAGAACAAUAUUAAAAUAAAUGACUGACAAAAUGAUGAUUACUCUUUUCA